GACGAACCGUGCGAACGUUGUUCGGAAUCAUUGGGCGUAAAGCGCGUGUAGGCGGUCCGGUAAGUCCGCUGUGAAAGUCGGGGGCUCAACCCUCGAAAGCCGGUGGAAACUGUCGGGCUAGAGUACGGAAGAGGCGAGUGGAAUUCCUGGUGUAGCGGUGAAAUGCGCAGAUAUCGGGAGGAACACCGGUGGCGAAGGCGGCCCCCUGGUUGGAUACUGACGCUGAGACGCGAAAGCGUGGGGAGCAAACGGG
rnacentral:rRNA from 1 species